rnacentral:rRNA from 1 species
UACGGAGGGGGCUAGCGUUGUUCGGAAUUACUGGGCGUAAAGCGCGCGUAGGCGGACCUGCAAGUCGGGGGUGAAAGCCCGAGGCUCAACCUCGGAACUGCCUUCGAUACUGCGGGUCUCGAGUCCGGGAGAGGUGAGUGGAAUUCCUAGUGUAGAGGUGAAAUUCGUAGAUAUUAGGAAGAACACCAGUGGCGAAGGCGGGUCUCUGGGCAGUUCCUGACACUGAGGCACGAAGGCCAGGGGAGCAAACGGG